UACGUAGGGUGCAGGCGUUAAUCGGAAUUACUGGGCGUAAAGCGUGCGCAGGCGGUUUGCUAAGACAGGUGUGAAAUCCCCGGGCUUAACCUGGGAAUGGCAUUUGGGACUGCAAGGCUGGAGUGCGGCAGAGGAGACUGGAAUUCCUGGUGUAGCAGUGAAAUGCGUAGAUAUCAGGAGGAACACCGAUGGCGAAGGCAGGUCUCUGGGCUGACACUGACGCUCAUGCACGAAAGCGUGGGGAGCAAACAGG
rnacentral:rRNA from 1 species